rnacentral:rRNA from 1 species
GAUGAACGCUGGCGGCGUGCCUAAUACAUGCAAGUCGAGCGAACGGACGAGAAGCUUGCUUCUCUGAUGUUAGCGGCGGACGGGUGAGUAACACGUGGAUAACCUACCUAUAAGACUGGGAUAACUUCAGGAAACCGGAGCUAAUACCGGAUAAUAUUUUGAACCGCAUGGUUCAAAAGUGAAAGACGGUCUUGCUGUCACUUAUAGAUGGAUCCGCGCUGCAUUAGCUAGUUGGUAAGGUAACGGCUUACCAAGGCAACGAUGCAUAGCCGACCUGAGAGGGUGAUCGGCCACACUGGAACUGAGACACGGUCCAGACUCCUACGGGAGGCAGCAGUAGGGAAUCUUCCGCAAUGGGCGAAAGCCUGACGGAGCAACGCCGCGUGAGUGAUGAAGGUCUUCGAAUCGUAAAACUCUGUUAUUAGGGAAGAACAUAUGUGUAAGUAACUGUGCACAUCUUGACGGUACCUAAUCAGAAAGCCACGGCUAACUACGUG